rnacentral:rRNA from 1 species
UACGAAGGGGGCGAGCGUUGUUCGGAUUUACUGGGCGUAAAGGGCGCGUAGGCGGCCCCUCCUUGUCGCGUGUGAAAGCCCCGGGCUCAACCUGGGAAUUGCGCGCGAAACGGGGGGGCUUGAGUUCGGGAGAGGAGCGUGGAAUUCCCAGUGUAGAGGUGAAAUUCGUAGAUAUUGGGAAGAACACCGGUGGCGAAGGCGGCGCUCUGGACCGAGACUGACGCUGAGGCGCGGAAAGCGUGGGGAGCAAACAGG